rnacentral:rRNA from 1 species
UUGCCUACGGGAGGCAGCAGUCGGGAAUAUUGCGCAAUGGAGGAAACUCUGACGCAGUGACGCCGCGUGCAGGAAGAAGGUUUUCGGAUUGUAAACUGCUUUAGACAGGGAAGAAAGAAAUGACGGUACCUGUAGAAUAAGCUCCGGCUAACUACGCGCCAGCAGCCGCGGUAAUACGUAGGCAGCAAGCGUUAUCCGGAUUUAUUGGGUGUAAAGGGUGCAUAUACGGGUAUACAAGUUAGUAGUGAA